rnacentral:pre_miRNA from 1 species
GGGGGGAGUGACGGAUCUUGGGCUGUGUUCCGCAGCGCCCUGGGCUCCGGGGCCUGCGUCGCUGGAAUCACGCUCCCGGGCCGCGCAGCCCCCU